UACAGAGGUCUCAAGCGUUGUUCGGAUUCAUUGGGCGUAAAGGGUGCGUAGGUGGCGGGUUUAGUCUGGUGUGAAAUCUCGGAGCUCAACUCCGAAACUGCACUGGAUACUGCCUUGCUUGAGUACUGGAGAGGAGAUUGGAAUUUACGGUGUAGCAGUGAAAUGCGUAGAUAUCGUAAGGAAGACCAGUGGCGAAGGCGAAUCUCUGGACAAGUACUGACACUGAGGCACGAAAGCGAGGGGAGCAAACAGG
rnacentral:rRNA from 1 species